GGUACCCUACGGGAGGCAGCAGUGGGGAAUAUUGCGCAAUGGGGGCAACCCUGAACCAGCAACGCCGCGUGAGGGAAGACGGUUUUCGGAUUGUAAACCUCUGUCCUCUGUGAAGAUGAUGACGGUAGCAGAGGAGGAAGCUCCGGCUAACUACGUGCCAGCAGCCGCGGUAAUACGUAGGGAGCGAGCGUUGUCCGGAUUUACUGGGUGUAAAGGGUGCGUAGGCGGCUUGGCAAGUCAGUAGUGAAAUCCAUGGGCUUAACCCAUGAACUGCUAUUGAAACUGUCGAGCUUGAGUGAAGUAGA
rnacentral:rRNA from 1 species